CGAGCCGGAAAGGAGGGAGAGGGGCGGAGGGAGGCGGGCAGGCAGGCAGGCAGGCAGCGAGCGCGGAGCCGAGGCAGCGCGGGCGCGGCGGCCAGGAUGGAUUUCCAGCAGCUGGCUGACGUUGCGGAGAAAUGGUGCUCCAACACACCCUUCGAUCUCAUCGCCACCGAGGAGACCGAGCGCAGGAUGGAUUUCUACGCCGACCCCGGCGUCUCCUUCUACGUGCUGUGUCCGGACAACGGCUGCGGGGACAAUUUUCACGUGUGGAGUGAGAGCGAGGACUGCCUGCCUUUCUUGCAGCUAGCUCAGGAUUACAUCUCCUCCUGCGGCAAGAAGACGCUCCAGGAAGUCUUGGAAAAAGUCUUCAAGUCUUUCAGACCCUUACUGGGGCUUCCGGAUGCGGACGAUGAUGCAUUUGAAGAGUACAACGCAGACGUGGAAGAAGAGGAGCCAGAGGCGGACCACCCCCAGAUGGGGGUCAGUCAGCAGUAAACCUCCGAGGGCUUGUACCUGAGAAGAGUAAGCCCGGUGGUGCCCUAGGUGGGGUCGUGUGCUCCGGGUUAGCAUUUUGCGUUAGUGCUUCAAAACAGGAUGUCUGACUCCUGGCAUCCAAAUUAAAAUGAAAUACCUUUUUGAUGACCACAAAAUAUCUGUGAUGAGCUUUGCUCACAAGUGACCUGAAUUUCACUCCUGCUUCAGUGGGGUUUCUAUGGAGUUGUCUCGGUAGCCUUUGCCAUUUUAAAUUUAGAGUCCAUUUUGUGGCUGACUCUUCUCUCUCGAGUUUAUGCUGGAGAAUUCACCUUCGCUGACCUGAAUGUAGAGAACUCUGAGUGUACCAAGGAUAUGUUUCGAGUCCUCACAGGUGACCCUCCUGAGGGGAAGCGUGGCAGAAGAGAAGUGGCAGUCUGCACUUUUGAGUUCUAGGGGAAAUCUGAAAUUCUUGGUGAUCCAGCCUUCAUUUGUGGAUGGGAGCAAGAUUCAGCCAUCUACAUGAGACGCAAAAGCACGGAGCAGCUUUUUUUAGGCAAGAACUGUUUCAUGUAGGGUGUCUGUGCUUUCUUUGCCUUUAUAUUUCCUUUCGGAGAAAUCUCUUGUAAAUUACAAAACUGUGAAAUGGGUUGCCAAAAACUAUUGCCCUUUGUUAGAUGCUUUAAACAGUGUAAAUCCUGUACUGAACCCUGUCCACAUCUGCGCCCUCCUCCCUCCUGAGAGUGAGGAUCUCAUCCAAUGAUGUAAUUACCAUACGCUUGCUAUUAAAGAGCCUUCCAAAAUCCUGUGAUGUUUGUCUCUUUUUUACUCCAUCCACAAUGUUUGGUUCUAAAGAAAAUCUAAUGUGGUUUAUAAAUGAGGAGUAAGGAGCAUCAGCUAGUUUUGUGGUUGCUGCUUGGGGUAAGGGGAACAGCUGGGAGACAGAGGAGGAGGAAGGAGGCUACAUAAAACAUUAAUGUAGACUCAAAUGUUAAUAAUUCAUGUGUUUUGGGAUAUUAAUAUAUCUGUGCUGAUGCCAUAGCUGUCAUUUAGUAAUCUUCCAUUUCUCCUUUAAACUAGUACUUUAGUUUUGUACGUGAGGACCCAAAAUCUCUGGGUGGUGCAAACAGUUUGUGCUCAGCUGCUAACCAGAAAAUUGUCGGUUCGAACCCACUCAACAGCACUGCAAAAGAAAGGCCUGGUGAUCUGCUUUUUUAAAGAUUACAGCCAGGAAAACCCUGUGAUUCUGCUCCGUAAUACACUGGAAUCGACUCAGUGGUAAUGAGUUUGGGUUUUUUUUAGUCAGGAAUCAGGAGUCCCUGGGUGGCACAAAUGGUUAUGCGCUUAGCUCCUAACUGAAAGGUUGGUAGCUAAGCCCACCCAGAGGUGCCUUGGAAGAAAGGCCUGGUGAUCUACUUCCAAAAGAUCACACUCUAUGGAGCAGAGUUCUACUCUGACACACAUGAGGUUGCCGUGAGUCAGAAUUGACAGCAACUGAUGUCAGGAACCUUUUGUGGCACCAAUUAGAAAUCUAUAUCUUACGGUCAUUCUAUGGAUGACAUGACACCAUUUCCCCACCUCGUUCCUCUCAGGUAUUGUUAUUCACUUUACAAAAAUAGCAUUUAAAGAAUAAAUCUGGAAGUUGUUGGUAAGUGUAUUAUUUGUUGAAGAGAUGUUUCUUAAACAAAUGAUUCUCCAUAGAUUGUUAAAUUAGAUUUUAGAGAUCGGUUUAGUGGGCGCAGUGUGUACAUUUUAGAUAAACUGUGGUUCUUGGUUUUCAGUACAGCUGUGGUCAGUGUACUGAAGUGGGGGGACAGUAUGCACCUUUCCAAACCUCACUCUGGACCUAGGAGGCUGACUGCUCCUUGGUGGUGUGUUCUUCCCCAAACAAAGCCUUUCUUAUGGGACAAUGCCUUUGUAACUGUUAGUUGAGCACUCUUAUAGGUUUAUUUUCUACAGUGCGGAUUGGCUUCUUUAAGUAUAGGGACAGGUUUUAGAAAUACCGACACCUGUCCAAUUAAUCUUUCUGAAAUCACUUGGUCAGUUGGCUGGGAAAGAGGCAGAGAUUCUAGCCCAGGCCAGACUCCUCCCUCACUGACUGAUGGUAGGCACGUGGCUCCCUGGUCUUUAUUUCCUAAUCUGUACAAACCAGCUGUGUGGCCCUUAUCCCCUCUGGCACUGGCAUUUUGGGAAUGUAUCUCAUCUUGACUAGUAGAGUUGGUGUGGAGGAUGAAGAGCGUAGUUUUUGAGGGAAACCCUGUUUCACCAAACCAGGGCUGGGCGACUGGUAUUGGCAAAAUGGUAUUCUCUGAUUUUGAACCCCUCUGCCUUUUACUUUUAGAAACAAAGGUCCCAGUUGAUAUACCGUAUUUUUAUCAAACAAUGUAUGUGUUACAUGUAUUUUGUCAACUACACAACUCCUUUCCUCUACACAUUACCUUUGUAAGCAUGCUGUGCCGGUUUGUUUUUUGCAUGUUGCUGCCUUCAGUUUUUAAUUCUGCUCACAUGGAAACUUCACUUAAGGUAGGUAUUGAUUAUAUAUUCCUUGAAAUGUAAGCCAAAGGUGUUCACGUGUAGAUCAACUUGAGCUAAUGAGCUAUAAUACCAACUUAAAUCAGUAGACACAAACACACAGUUUUGGUUGUUUAUUUUCCGAUGACCAGGUGUGGUAGUUACCUGGUACUGCUAUAACAAAUACCACGAAUGGGUGGCUUUAACAAACAAAUUCAUUUUCUCACAGUUUAGGAGGUUUGAAGUCCAAAUUCAGGGUGCUAGCUCUAGGGGGGAAGGCUUUCUCUCUCUGUCAUUUCUGGAGAAAAGUCCUUGUCUCUUCGGAGCCUGUUUCUGGAUGAUCUUCACAUGGUUUGUCAUCUCUCUUUCCCCAUCUCUGCUUACUGGCUUGCUUGUUUAAUCUUUUUAUAUCUCAAAAGAGAUUGACUCAGAUGCACCCUACACUGAUCCUGCCUCAUUAACAUAACAAAGACAACUCUUUCCCAAAAUGGGAUUUUAUAACCACAGGCAUGCAGGUUAGGAUUUACAACACAUAUUUUUAGGGGACACAGUUCAAUCCGUAACACUAGGGGGACUACCAGACUUGAUCCAUGACUUCUCGACCAUAGCUUAUACCUUUAAAAAAAUACCUUUACGUUUAUCAUCAAAAGUAACAAUGAUUUACUUGUAAUAUGUGAGGACGGGUGAAUGAAGCAGAAGUUCACUUCUGGAAAGGUCAUGAGACAUGAGUGGUAACUAAUUUAAUUUCAUCAUUUCUGCACACUAUACAUGUGGGCGUGUUAUUUAUGUGGGCAUGUUAUUUUUUUAAAAAAAAUACUGUAGUAAAUAUAUAUGAGCCCAACUAGGUUGUCCCUGAGUGCUUUCUCCUUUCUUCCUACACUUCCCUUCUCUUUGUAAUCAAUAAUAGAUAUAAAAACCUACACAAAAUAGGAAGUUUUGGGACCCUUUGCUUAGGCAUAUGAGAUAAAUCUCAUUUCCUUUAGAAAUGAGACUCUUUUAUGUGGUAAAGUCAGGCUGGGUAGGGCACACAUUUCCCUACUCUUCAUUGUGAAUGUGUAUGGGUUGAAUUAAAAUAAGCAAAACAAAACCCCACUACCCAGUGUUUGAACCUGCAGCAGGGUGGGAGCAAACAGUGGUGCAUGUGUGUGCAGGAGUAUCUGGCGGAUAGUUUUGCCUGGUGCCUGCUGAUGGGGUGAGUGAACAGUCCUCUCUCCAUUUGACAAGCCCGGCCAUCUGGAACUUUGGAAACUCAAGAUGCGUGUCCUGAGAUAGCUGGCACUGUGCUCUUUCUUGGAAAUCCUGAUGGUGUAGUGGUUAAGAGAUGUGGCUGCUAACCCAAAGGUCGGCAGUUCGAAUUCACCAGCUGCUCCUCAGAAACUCUAUGGGGCAGUCCUACUUUGUCCUGUAGGGUCGCUAUGAGUCAGAAUCGACUCGACAGCAGCCGGUUGGUUGGUUGGUGCUUUUUCUUAAUAUUGAAGUAGGCAAAUAGCUCAUUUCACAAACAUGCAUAACCCCAUCUGUCAUUUAAAAGGUCUUGUUCAAUUUUUUUUUCUUUUCUAAAGCUAUUAUCCCAUCUCUCUCUCGCAUUUUGUCCUGACUCUCUGUCCCAUCAGCUGACUGGCUUUCUCUAAUUACACAUGUACAUAUAGGUAUGUUUCCCGAAGAUUUAGCCUUUGGUUUCUUAUUUACACAAGAUUUUCUUCAUGGUUUUAUUUCAUCUCACAACUACCACAAGAAACUCUCAGCUAGUAAGUAUUAAACUAUUAAUACUUUAUCUCUGACCUACUUUUUUUUUUUUUUUUU